rnacentral:rRNA from 1 species
GCCGCGGUAAUACGGAGGGAGCUAGCGUUGUUCGGAAAUACUGGGCGUAAAGCGCACGCAGGUGGCUGAGUCAGUCGAUUGUGAAAGCCCUGGGCUUAACCUGGGAAUUGCAGUCGAUACUACUCAGCUAGAGUAUGGGAGAGGGUAGUGGAAUUCCCGGUGUAGCGGUGAAAUGCGUAGAUAUCGGGAGGAACAUCAGUGGCGAAGGCGGCUACCUGGCCCAAUACUGACACUCAGCUGCGACAGCGUGGGGAGCAAACAG